rnacentral:rRNA from 1 species
GACGAACCGUGCGAACGUUAUUCGGAAUCGAUCUGGGUACGUUAAAGCGCGUGUUAGGCGGAUCGGCACGUCCGGUGGCUGAAACGCCCCGCUCAACCGGGGAGUGGCGACGGAUACGGCCGAUCGUGGAGGGGGGUAGGGGACCUGGAACUUCCGGUGGAGCGGUGAAAUGACGUUGAGAUCGGAAGGAACGCCCGUGGCCGAAAGCGAAGGUCUG